rnacentral:rRNA from 1 species
CACCGGCGGCUCGAGUGGUGGCCACUUUUAUUGGGUCUAAAGCGUCCGUAGCCGGCUUGGCAAGUCCCCUGGGAAAUCUGGCGGCUUAACCGUCAGGCGUCCAGAGGAUACUGCCAGGCUUGGGACCGGGAGAGGUGAGAGGUACCUCAGGGGUAGGGGUGAAAUCUUGUGAUCCCUGAGGGACCACCAGUGGCGAAGGCGGCUCACUAGAACGGGUCCGACGGUCAGGGACGAAAGCUGGGGGCGCGAACCGG